rnacentral:lncRNA from 1 species
AUGUCUCACGGUGACCAUCAAAUUUUUAACUCUACUUUUUCAUUUAUCAGAGACGACCGAAAAGACCGACCUUACUUCAUCGUUCACGAAAAAGAACCGUCAAAAUCACUUAACACGCUCAAAUUCAGGGCUUCAUAUCGACGAAAAUCAGAGGCGAAACGAAGUGAAAGCGAAAAAGUAACCGCAGAGAUAAAACCGGGAAUCGGGAGCGAAAAAGUAACCGCAGAGAUAAAGCCAGGAAUCGGGAGCGAAAAAGUAACCGCAGAGAUAAAACCGGGAAUCGGGAGCAAAAAUCGCGGGUGGAAAACAAUCGGAAAAUUCGAAGAACGCGCGGCGCGGACCGGACAAGACCUGACCGUCGACUGAAAGCUGAAGCGCGCCCAGAACUCAAAUUCGAUAAAAUAUGCCGAGUUAAUCACCCGUAAUAACAGCUCGGCGACGUUGCCGGACGGGCAUCGAACGCUCCACCAUUUAAACGUACGGAAAAGGAUCGAUCAACAGGGAGUCACCUUAAUAAUCGAUUCUUUGCCACAGUUUUAAAUGGGGAAACAUUAAUAAUCGAUCAUUCACGCCUCGCUGACGGAACGUGCGAAAAAGAGAGGCGAACAAGCGAACAAGUACACAUGUCCAAGGUAGCCUCGGUGCUCGAGCCGGGGGCUCAAGAGCUCACACUUACUCAUCCCGAACUAUUGCACAACUAAAAUGCAAAAGCACAGGAAAACACCUGAGUCAGCUUUCAACUUGACAAUGAUCCGUAUGGGGUGAGUUAUUUGAAGAAGAGCGUAAGCGCCAAAUUAUCUGAAAUUGAGUUUUUCGGCAGGAUACUAUUCUUUAAGCGUUGACGCAUUUUGGUACCAAGCGAUUCAAACAAAAUGCCUCUUAAACAAGAACGUUAGACUGGCCAUGGGGGCGGGGAGGCGAUCGCCUCCUGACAAUUCGAUUUUUUUCGAGUCAUCGUUUUUUUUCCCACAUAAUAUUGUAAUUUUUCAAUCCUUUUCAGUCACCAUAAGUCCUCUGAAUCCUUGAAAAUUUGUCUCUAAAAGACAUACAAGG